ensembl:piRNA 21ur-3035 ncRNA
UAGAUCAUAUAUAGGAAUGUU